CCCCACUCCCACCCCAGCCGCCAAAUGAACCCUAGCCCUCUUUCUCUUUCCCCUCGAUCCCCACGAGCCGCCGCACCCCUCCCUCGAUCCCCACCAUCCUCUCCUUGCCAGCAGCCGUCGGCCGACCUUGUCUCUCCACUCGCCUCCUCCUCUCCUCUAUCAUGUCGCCGUCGAUCCCACCGCCAGCCUUCUCCUCUGCUCGCCUCCUCCUGUGCACUUCCAUGUCACCGUCGAUCCAGAUCGGAAGUAGGUCAUCUUCGCAGUGAGGGUGGGGAUGUAGGGGAGGUGUAGGGUGCGGACGACAAGGGAAGGAGGAGGCCGGCAAGGAAGGCAAGCAACAGCAGGGAAGGAGAAGGUGAGCGAUCCUAGCAUGGGGAAGGGGCAGGGUGAGGCCUCGCGCACCUGUCGGCGGCCGGCAGGUCGACUUGUUGCACCACCGCGUCGUCACCUCCUCUGCACCAUGAGAGGCGCCACCUCUGCCUCCACACCCCCCCAUUAGGCAAGGAGGUCGAGGUGAACAGGCGGUGUGGGAAGGCGAGAGGAACCAGGAGCUCAUCCCUCCUCCCAUGGCUGCCUCGUGGAUCUGGAGGUGCCUGUUGCAGGUGGCUCGAGCGAUGCAAGCCGGCGGCAAACUAGGUCCAUGGACAUUGUCAUAAUGGUCACCUUAUCGCAAUGUAUUAUUUUUGGAUCUCAUAUUCCUUAAGGCGCUCCAUCCUCUGAUUCAAUGUCUGACGAUCUGAGAAAUAAGAGGAGGAAUAAUCCAGCAGAAGAAUUUGGUGAAGAAGAACAAGACGGGCAAAGCUUGCUGCAUGUGUAGCACCGCUGGUUGCUCCCUACUUGUCAUAUUAUCUUCACUUGGUGCUGUGAAGGUUGGCUACUGUGAUCAAGGAAAUAGCAUGUAUCUGUGUGGUUUGUUCCUGCUGUUGAUCGGUGUUGCUGCGUUUAAGCUGCCGAGGGGAAAGAGCGGAGGAUCCGAGAGGCGAAGCAACCGGAGGAGACGGAGAACACGACCCUUGUCCUAUGUGCAGUCAAUAGGUUCGGGGCGGUAUAUAAAGAGUUUUUAUCUUGGGAAACAAGCAAACGGAAGAAAAACGGAGUCCUGAAGGUACCCGAGGUGGGCACAACCCACCUGGGCGCGUCUGGCUUGCCAGGCGCAUCCUGGUGUCUUGUGCCCACCAGGGAUGUCUUCUUCGUUGUUUCUAAUUUUCCCAAUUUUUAAUAUAUUGCAAAACUGACAAAAAGAUAUUUUUUGGAUUUUUCGGAGUCCGUUUACUUACCGUAUCACGUACCUCCUCUUUUUUAAUGAUUCUGGAGUAUUCCAGAAGGUUUCCUUUAUGUGUUCUUCCGGUGUCAUGGUUUGGAUAAUAUUACUUUCAACAUUAAUGGUCCUACCUGAGAUAUAAUGUUUUAUUCUU